UGGGGAAUUUUGGACAAUGGGCGAAAGCCUGAUCCAGCAAUGCCGCGUGCAGGAAGAAGGCCUUCGGGUUGUAAACUGCUUUUGUACGGAACGAAACGGUCUGCCCUAAUACGGCGGGCUAAUGACGGUACCGUAAGAAUAAGCACCGGCUAACUACGUGCCAGCAGCCGCGGUAAUACGUAGGGUGCGAGCGUUAAUCGGAAUUACUGGGCGUAAAGCGUGCGCAGGCGGUUAUGUAAGACAGUUGUGAAAUCCCCGGGCUCAACCUGGGAAUUGCAUCUGUGACUGCAUAGCUAGAGUACGGUAGAGGGGGAUGGAAUUCCGCGUGUAGCAGUGAAAUGCGUAGAUAUGCGGAGGAACACCGAUGGCGAAGGCAAUCCCCUGGACCUGUACUGACGCUCAUGCACGAAAGCGUGGGGAGCAAACA
rnacentral:rRNA from 1 species